rnacentral:rRNA from 1 species
AUGCAAGUCGAGCGCUAAUUUCAGGGUAGCAAUAUUCUGAAGUUGGAGCGGCGCAAGGGUGCGUAACACGUGGGUAAUCUGCCAUGAAGUUCGGGAUAACUUGCUGAAAGGCGAGCUAAUACCGGAUGUGACAACCGAGAGGCAUCUCUUGGUUGUUAAAGUUGGGGACCGUAAGGCCUGACGCUUCUUGAUGAACCCGCGGCCUAUCAGCUAGUUGGUGAGGUAACGGCUCACCAAGGCUAAGACGGGUAGCUGGUCUGAGAGGACGACCAGCCACACUGGAACUGAGACACGGUCCAGACACCUACGGGUGGCAGCAGUCGAGAAUUUUUCACAAUGGGCGCAAGCCUGAUGGAGCGACGCCGCGUGGGGGAUGAAUGGCUUCGGCCCGUAAACCCCUGUCAUUCGCGAUCAAACCUCAUUAUUUAAAAGAUGAUGAGCUGAUAGUAGCGGAAGAGGAAGGGACGGCUAACUCUGUGCCAGCAGCCGCGGUAAUACAGAGGUCCCAAGCGUUGUUCGGAUUCACUGGGCGUAAAGGGUGCGUAGGUGGUGAGGUAAGUCGGAUGUGAAAGCUCGGAGCUCAACUCCGAGAUGGCAUUGGAAACUACCUUGCUCGAGGGUUGGAGGGGGGACU